rnacentral:rRNA from 1 species
GAUGAACGCUGGCGGCGUGCCUAAUACAUGCAAGUCGAGCGAAUGGAUUAAGAGCUUGCUCUUAUGAAGUUAGCGGCGGACGGGUGAGUAACACGUGGGUAACCUGCCCAUAAGACUGGGAUAACUCCGGGAAACCGGGGCUAAUACCGGAUAACAUUUUGAACCGCAUGGUUCGAAAUUGAAAGGCGGCUUCGGCUGUCACUUAUGGCUGGACCCGCGUCGCAUUAGCUAGUUGGUGGGGUAACGGCUCACCAAGGCAACGAUGCGUAGCCGACCGGAGAGGGUGAUCGGCCACACUGGGACUGCAACACGGCCCAGACUCCUACGGGAGGCAGCAGUAGGGAAUCUUCCGCAAUGGACGAAAGUCUGACGGAGCAACGCCGCGUGAGGGAUGAAGGCUUUCGGGUCGUAAAACUCUGUUGUUAGGGAAGAACAAGUGCUAGUUGAAUAAGCUGGCACCUUGACGGUACCUAACCAGAAAGCCACGGCUAACUACGUGCCAGCCGCCGCGGUAA